GCCUUCGCGGUGUAGUGGUCAGCACGCUCGACGCGUAACCGAGAGGUCCGUGGUUCGAUUCCCGGCGAAGGCG
rfam:Stegodyphus mimosarum contig17087, whole genome shotgun sequence.